UACGAAUGUACGGUUUAUUAACCCAACUCCCCACAGGCUACUGUUUGGCCGCAGCCCACGACAAAAUAAAUGAAGGAUACCCUAUAAACCACCCGCGACCUUCUCUUGUGAAAGCCAGACAUAAGAGAGAGAACAAUGUUUAAACCUGGUCUAAACUUCCAAUGCUCUCUGCCCAACCCCCCUCCACGCCUCUCCACCAACCACCAGGAAGCCCGGCAUCAGAACGUUCCAGGAUUGGCAGAUAGCAGGUAGAUUGGCAUGUCGAACCCCGCGAACACUGGGUACUGGUAAGUACAACACAACCAACUAAUAGACUAACACAUAACACACAGCUGUCUGUGUGGGUCGCUACAAUAUUGAAUCAUUUCUGCCCACCGAAUUCAUAUUCGUUAUACACUAUAAAAAAUAUAAGACCGGCAUAUUAAAUAUUGCAAAAGAAAAUCUAAUGAUUUUUACUAAAAAUAAUAGGUUUCUGCUUUUGAACACAUUUUAGAUUAUAAUCCUUAAUUUAUGUGUUGAAAAAGAAUCCAAGAUCUAGUUAUGAACGUCAGUUGUGCUUGGAACAUUUCAACAGACGUCGUCUUGAUCUUUCUCAUCUGGAAAGGCCAUGUGGCAGGUGUAUCACUUCUAUCAUCAAGAAAUGGACAGUGACAGAUGGCUAACUACACCUAGCUAUCUAACUACACCUGUCCUGGCAGAAACCUUCUUGUUGUUCAGGUGUUCAGACGUUCCUGAGUACUGGACAGACCAUAUUUUCCAGAAUACAUUGACAAGGAAAACGCCAAGGAGUGUGGAGAUGCAUCACAGAUCUACCUGUCUGUUUCUCUCUUCCUCACCUGUCUCACUGCCUCCUUCACCUGUCUCAAGACCUCCACGCUGGUUUUCCGAUGACAGACAGACAGCUACCUAGCCUAAACCCCGCCUCCCCUCUGAAUCGGUAUCUCCCUGGAAUGUUCCAGAAUGCCUGAAUUUAGCAUGCCUGCUGCUGUUUGCGUUGUCUUUAUCAAUCAAUAUGACUAUAUGAUUUAAGUUAUGAUAUUGAUCAUUUUGGCUGAUGGACUGAGAGGAAUAAGCUGUUGACUGACUCCAUGCUUGAUGACUUUACAAUCACAGAGAGAUGUUGACUGACUCCAUGUUUGAUGACUUUACAAUCACAGAGAGAUGUUGACUGACUCCAUGCUUGAUGACUUUACAAUCACAGAGAGAUGUUGACUGACUCCAUGCUUGAUGACUUUACAAUCACAGAGAGAUGUUGACUGACUCCAUGUUUGAUGACUUUACAAUCACAGAGAGAUGUUGACUGACUCCAUGCUUGAUGACUUUACAAUCACAGAGAGAUGUUGACUGACUCCAUGCUUGAUGACUUUACAAUCACAGAGAGAUGUUGACUGACUCCAUGUUUGAUGACUUUACAAUCACAGAGAGAUGUUGACUGACUCCAUGCUUGAUGACUUUACAAUCACAGAGAGAUGUUGACUGACUCCAUGCUUGAUGACUUUACAAUCACAGAGAGAUGUUGACUGACUCCAUGUUGGAUGACUUUACAAUCACAGAGAGCUGUUGACUGACUCCAUGCUUGAUGACUUUACAAUCACAGAGAGAUGUUGACUGACUCCAUGCUUGAUGACUUUACAAUCACAGAGAGAUGUUGACUGACUCCAUGUUUGAUGACUUUACAAUCACAGAGAGAUGUUGACUUCAGAUGUUUGAUGUCUUUCAACCACCAAAGUUGUGCUUCUUUGGACAACCGUUCUAAAACCAUGAAAGGGCUUUUUGGCUUCUUCUUCUUCUUCAGUGUCUGAUAAGAGAACAUUAUAGUGUUUCUAUGCAAAAGGAAACAUACUUUAUUUGACUGUGGAAAGAUCCAGUAUCGUCAAUACGAUUCCAAAGGACUUGACUUUGCAAUAAGACCAUGGAAGACUCUUCAGUCUGUGGAUGAUGUGUUUUACAAAUGGUUUUGAUAAAAUAAUACUCUGGAUUCAUG